rnacentral:rRNA from 1 species
CAACGUACAGGCUGCCGGGAAUACUGCAGAUCUAGGGAGUGGGAGAGGUAGACGGUACUCGGGAGGAAGUGGUAAAAUGCUUUGAUCUCUCGAUGACCACCUGUGGCGAAGGCGGUCUACCAGAACACGUCCGACGGUGAGGGAUGAAAGCUGGGGGAGCAAACCGGAUUAGAUACCCGGGUAGUCCCAGCUGUAAACUAUGCAAACUCAGUGAUGCAUUGGCUUGUGGCCAAUGCAGUGUUGCAGGGAAGCCGUUAAGUUUGCCGCCUGGGAAGUACGUACGCAAGUAUGAAACUUAAAGGAAUUGGCGGGGGAGCACCACAAGGGGUGAAGCCUGCGGUUCAAUUGGAGUCAACGCCAGAAAUCUUACCCGGAGAGACAGCAGAAUGAAGGUCAAGCUGAAGACUUUACCAGACAAGCUGAGAGGUGGUGCAUGGCCGUCGCCAGCUCGUGCCGUGAGAUGUCCUGUUAAGUCAGGUAACGAGCGAGAUCCCUGCCUCUAGUUGCCACCAUUACUCUCAGGAGUAGUGGGGCGAAUUAGCGGGACCGCCGCAGUUAAUGCGGAGGAAGGAAGGGGCCACGGCAGGUCAGUAUGCCCCGAAACUCUGGGGCCACACGCGGGCUGCAAUGGUAAUGACAAUAGGUUCCGAAUCCGAAAGGAAGAGGUAAUCCCUAAACAUUACCACAGUUAUGACUGAGGGCUGCAACUCGCCCUCACGAAUAUGGAAUCCCUAGUAACUGCGUGUCAUUAUCGCGCGGUGAAUACGUCCCUGCUCCUUGCACACACCGCCCGU